rnacentral:rRNA from 1 species
UACGGAGAGUGCAAACGUUGUUCGGAUUCACUGGGCGUAAAGGGCACGUAGGCGGCCCGGCAAAUCAGUCGUGGAAUCCCGACGCUUACCGUCGGAACGGCGGCUGAAAAUACCGGGCUAGAGGGCGUGAGGGGUCACUGGAACUCCCGGUGAAGCGGUGAAAUGCGUAGAUAUCGGGAGGAACGCCGGAGGCGAAAGCGAGUGACUGGCGCGUUCCUGACGCUGAGGUGCGAAAGCUAGGGGAGCAAACAGGAUUAGAAACCCGAGUAGU